UACGGAGGGAGCUAGCGUUGUUCGGAAAUACUGGGCGUAAAGCGCACGUAGGCGGCGCAGCAAGUCAGGGGUGAAAUCCCGGGGCUCAACCCCGGAACUGCCUCUGAAACUGCAGUGCUAGAAUCUUGGAGAGGCGAGUGGAAUUCCGAGUGUAGAGGUGAAAUUCGUAGAUAUUCGGAAGAACACCAGUGGCGAAGGCGACUCGCUGGACAAGUAUUGACGCUGAGGUGCGAAAGCGUGGGGAGCAAAGCAGG
rnacentral:rRNA from 1 species